rnacentral:snoRNA from 1 species
UUCUAUGAUGAUCAUUUCUUUACAAUAUACGCUGGAAAUUACCGGCCGAGAUUUCUUUUGCCUUCGGGUUUAAGAGUCGGUGGCGAUAUCAAAUGGCUAUAACUGAUU